rnacentral:misc_RNA from 1 species
GCAAACUUGGUCAUUUAGAGGAAGUAAAAGUCGUAACAAGGUUUCCGUAGGUGAACCUGCGGAAGGAUCAUUAACAAAAAAUGAUGAGUGAUGGUGUUCUCACCUGAACUCUCCUUCUACCUUUGUAACCGCGUGAAUUUAAACACAAUAAAAUUUGUUAGUGUAUUGCUUAAUAGUUUGACUAUUAUAAUAAUUGCGCACUAACAGUUAGUGGUCAAGUCAGUGAUAUAAGUUGGAGACGACUGACAUUGACAUUGAUCGCAUUAAAAAACUUUUAUAACCUUUUAAUAUGAAAUUAAUUUGGCUGAAUAUUAGUUUAAAAACUAUAAAUUAUAUACACUUUUAACAAUGGAUCUCUUGGCUCUUGCAUCGAUGAAGAACGCAGC